UGGCGGACGGGUGAGUAACGCGUGGGUAACCUGCCUUGUACUGGGGGACAACAGUUAGAAAUGACUGCUAAUACCGCAUAAGACCACGGUACCGCAUGGUACAGUGGUAAAAACUCCGGUGGUAUGAGAUGGACCCGCGUCUGAUUAGGUAGUUGGUGGGGUAACGGCCUACCAAGCCGACGAUCAGUAGCCGACCUGAGAGGGUGACCGGCCACAUUGGGACUGAGACACGGCCCAG
rnacentral:rRNA from 1 species